GACGGACGCUGGCGGCGUGCUUAACACAUGCAAGUCGAGCGGAAAGGCCACUUCGGUGGUACUCGAGCGGCGAGCGGGUGAGUAACACGUGAGUAAUCUGCCCCUGGCUUUGGGAUAGCCACCGGAAACGGUGAUUAAUACCGGAUACGACCACUUCUCGCAUGGGAUGGUGGUGGAAAGUUUUUUCGGCCAGGGAUGUGCUCGCGGCCUAUCAGCUUGAUGGUGAGGUAAUGGCUCACCAUGGCUUCGACGGGUAGCCGGCCUGAGAGGGUGACCGGGCACACUGGGACUGAGACACGGCCCAGACUCCUACGGUAGGCAGCAGUGGGGAAUAUUGGACAAUGGGCGGAAGCCUGAUCCAGCAACGCCGCGUGAGGGAUGACGGCCUUCGGGUUGUAAACCUCUUUCAGCAGGGACGAAGCGCAAGUGACGGUACCUGCAGAAGAAGCACCGGCCAACUACGUGCCAGCAGCCGCCGUAA
rnacentral:rRNA from 1 species